rnacentral:rRNA from 1 species
GGGUUGUGAGGUUAAGCGACUAAGCGUACACGGUGGAUGCCCUGGCAGUCAGAGGCGAUGAAGGGCGUGCUAAUCUGCGAUAAGCGCCGGUAAGGUGAUAUGAACCGUUAUAACCGGCGAUACCCGAAUGGGGAAACCCAGUGUGAUUCGUCACACUAUCAUUAACUGAAUCCAUAGGUUAAUGAGGCGAACCGGGGGAACUGAAACAUCUAAGUACCCCGAGGAAAAGAAAUCAACCGAGAUUCCCCCAGUAGCGGCGAGCGAACGGGGAGGAGCCCAGAGCCUGAAUCAGCAUGUGUGUUAGUGGAAGCGUCUGGAAAGGCGCGCGAUACAGGGUGACAGCCCCGUACACAAAAGCGUAUGUGCUGUGAGCUCGAUGAGUAGGGCGGGACACGUGGUAUCCUGUCUGAAUAUGGGGGGACCAUCCUCCAAGGCUAAAUACUCCUGACUGACCGAUAGUGAACCAGUACCGUGAGGGAAAGGCGAAAAGAACCCCGGCGAGGGGAGUGAAAAAGAACCUGAAACCGUGUACGUACAAGCAGUGGGAGCACCCUUUGGGGUGUGACUGCGUACCUUUUGUAUAAUGGGUCAGCGACUUAUAUUCUGUAGCAAGGUUAACCGAAUAGGGGAGCCGGAGGGAAACCGAGUCUUAAUUGGGCGUUAAGUUGCAGGGUAUAGACCCGAAACCCGGUGAUCUAGCCAUGGGCAGGUUGAAGGUUGGGUAACACUAACUGGAGGACCGAACCGACUAAUGUUGAAAAAUUAGCGGAUGACCUGUGGCUGGGGGUGAAAGGCCAAUCAAACCGGGAGAUAGCUGGUUCUCCCCGAAAGCUAUUUAGGUAGCGCCUCGUGAAUUCAUCUCCGGGGGUAGAGCACUGUUUCGGCUAGGGG